ACGCUGGCGGCAGGCUUAACACAUGCAAGUCGAACGAAGUUAGGAAGCUUGCUUCUGAUACUUAGUGGCGGACGGGUGAGUAAUGCUUAGGAAUCUGCCUAGUAGUGGGGGAUAACUUGGGGAAACCCAAGCUAAUACCGCAUACGACCUACGGGUGAAAGGGGGCUUUUAGCUCUCGCUAUUAGAUGAGCCUAAGUCGGAUUAGCUGGUUGGUGGGGUAAAGGCCUACCAAGGCGACGAUCUGUAGCUGGUCUGAGAGGAUGAUCAGCCACACUGGGACUGAGACACGGCCCAGACUCCUACGGGAGGCAGCAGUGGGAAUAUUGGACAAUGGGCGAAAGCCUGAUCCAGCCAUGCCGCGUGUGUGAAGAAGGCCUUUUGGUUGUAAAGCACUUUAAGUGGGGAGGAAAAGCUUAUGGUUAAUACCCAUAAGCCCUGACGUUACCCACAGAAUAAGCACCGGCUAACUCUGUGCCAGCAGCCGCGGUAAUACAGAGGGUGCAAGCGUUAAUCGGAAUUACUGGGCGUAAAGCGCGCGUAGGUGGUUAUUUAAGUCAGAUGUGAAAGCCCCGGGCUUAACCUGGGAACUGCAUCUGAUACUGGAUAACUAGAGUAGGUGAGAGGGGAGUAGAAUUCCAGGUGUAGCGGUGAAAUGCUUAGAGAUCUGGAGGAAUACCGAUGGCGAAGGCAGCUCCCUGGCAUCAUACUGACACUGAGGUGCGAAAGCGUGGGCAGCAAACAGGAUUAGAUACCCUGGUAGUCCACGCCGUAAACGAUGUCUACCAGUCGUUGGGUCUUUUAAAGACUUAGUGACGCAGUUAACGCAAUAAGUAGACCGCCUGGGGAGUACGGCCGCAAGGUUAAAACUCAAAUGAAUUGACGGGGGCCCGCACAAGCGGUGGAGCAUGUG
rnacentral:rRNA from 1 species